AACCUUUACACUGCACGACAGUGCGAUAAGGGAAUCCCAAGUGCGUAGGCAUAGAGCCUACGCUUUUGUCCACCGUAGGGAGGUGGACGAAUAAGGGCUGGGCAAGACCGGUGCCAGCCGCCGCGGUAAUACCGGCAGCCCGAGUGAUGGCCGAUCUUAUUGGGCCUAAAGCGUCCGUAGCUGGCCGCGCAAGUCUAUCGGAAAAUCCACCCGCUCAACGGGUGGGCGUCCGGUAGAAACUGCGUGGCUUGGGACCGGAAGGCGCGACGGGUACGUCCGGGGUAGGAGUGAAAUCCCGUAAUCCUGGACGGACCGCCGAUGGCGAAAGCACGUCGCGAAGACGGAUCCGACAGUGAGGGACGAAAGCUAGGGUCUCGAACCGGAUUACAUACCCGGGUAGUCCUAGCCGCACACAAUGCCUGCUAGGUGUGGCUCCCACUACGAGUGGGUGCUGUGCCGUACGGAAGCCGCUAAGCAGGCCGCCUGGGAAGUACGUCCGCAAGGAUGAAACUUAA
rnacentral:rRNA from 1 species